UACGUAGGGGGCAAGCGUUGUCCGGAAUCAUUGGGCGUAAAGAGCGCGUAGGCGGCCCGCUAAGUCGAACGUGAAAUCCCUCAGCUUAACUGGGACUGCGUCUGAUACUGGAUGGCUUGGAAUUUGGGAGAGGGAUGCGGAAUUCCAGGUGUAGCGGUGAAAUGCGUAGAUAUCUGGAGGAACACCGGUGGCGAAGGCGG
rnacentral:rRNA from 1 species